rnacentral:rRNA from 11 species
GACUUUUGUGAUGUUCACUGAAAGGCAUCAGUGAGCUUUCUGUCUGUUCUUGGAAGCUAAGCAAGUUGAAUCUGGUUUGUACUUAGAUGGAAGGCUGCUAAUGAAUGCCAGGUGCUGUAGACU